GACAUCCUGUCACCCCAUUGAUUGCCAGGGUUGAUUUGGCUGAUGUGGCUGGGUUGGUGGGUGUCCUGUUCCUCCCUCACAGUUCUGUGUAUGUGUUUCCUGAAGCUGCAUGCUCAAGUCAGAGAGGAUGAUGUUCCCCUAGAGAGCAGGAUGGUUUUUCGGUUAAUGGUAAAUUAGUAGCCGUGGUCUCCUACUAGAACCUCCAAACAAGUUC
rnacentral:lncRNA from 1 species